CCUACGGGGGGCUGCAGUGGGGAAUAUUGCACAAUGGGGGAAACCCUGAUGCAGCAACGCCGCGUGAGCGAUGAAGGCCUUCGGGUCGUAAAGCUCUGUCCUAAGGGAAGAAUACUCACGGGACAUUAGGAGGAAGCCCCGGCUAACUACGUGCCAGCAGCCGCGGCAAUACGUGGGGGGCCAGCGUUAUCCGGAAUUACGGGGCGUAAAGGGGGCGUAGGCGGCCCUUAAAGUCAGAGGGGAAAGGCUACGGUUCAACCGUGGUAAGCGUUUGAAACUGAAGGGCUUGAGUGCAGGAGAGGAGGGUGGAAUUCCCAGUGUAGCGGUGAAAUGCGUAGAUAUUGGGAGGAACACCAGUUGCGAAGGCGGCUCUCUGGACUGUAACUGACGCUGAGGCACGAAAGCGUGGGGAGCGAACAGGAUUAGAUACCCGAGUAGUC
rnacentral:rRNA from 1 species